rnacentral:rRNA from 1 species
AGCAGGGCGGCAGCUACCAUGCAGUCGAACGCCGUAGCAAUACGGAGUGGCAGACGGGUGAGUAACGCGUGGGAACAUACCCCUCGGUUCGGAAUAACUCAGGGAAACUUGAGCUAAUACCGGAUACGUCCGAGGUCUUAAUCGGCCUUGGAGAAAGAUUUAUCGCCGGAGGAUUGGCCCGCGUCUGAUUAGCUUGUUGGUGAGGUAAUGGCUCACCAAGGCGACGAUCAGUAGCUGGUCUGAGAGGAUGAUCAGCCACAUUGGGACUGAGACACGGCCCAAACUCCUACGGGAGGCAGCAGUGGGGAAUAUUGGACAAUGGGCGAAAGCCUGAUCCAGCCAUGCCGCGUGAGUGAUGAAGGCCUUAGGGUUGUAAAGCUCUUUUACCCGGGAAGAUAAUGACGGUACCGGGAGAAUAAGCCCCGGCUAACUUCGUGCCAGCAGCCGCGGUAAUACGAAGGGGGCUAGCGUUGUUCGGAAUUACUGGGCGUAAAGCGCACGUAGGCGGAUCCUUAAGCCAGGGGUGAAAUCCCGAGGCUCAACCUCGGAACUGCCUUUGAUACUGGGGAUAUCGAGUCCGGGAGAGGUGAGUGGAACUGCGAGUGUAGAGGUGAAAUUCGUAGAUAUUCGCAAGAACACCAGUGGCGAACGCGGCUCACUGGCCCGGUACUGACGCUGAGGUGCGAAAGCGUGGGGAGCAAACAGGAUUAGAUACCCUGGUAGUCCACGCCGUAUACGAUGGAUGCUAGCCGUUAGACAGCUUGCUGUUUAGUGGCGCAGUUAACGCGUUAAGCAUCCCGCCCUGGGGAGUACGGUCGCAAGAUUAAAACUCAAAGGAAUUGGCGGGGG